rnacentral:rRNA from 1 species
AUGAAGAUCCUCGAGUCGCCCCUCAUGGGCGAGUUCAUCGGCUACCUCAAGUCCAACUGGGGCGGCAACUCGCGGGUGAGCCAGCGCCGGCGCCGGCUGCGGCAGCUGGUGGCGAUGGUGCGCGGGGUGGCGGACGCCGCCGAGGCCCGGGCGGCGGUGCGGGGCAGCUCCCUCCACCGCUGGCUGCAGCUGCUGCGGAAGGAGGCGCUGCGCGGGCAGCAGGUGCUCGACGCCACCACCGACCCCUCCGCCGUCGUCGGCUCGGCCAAGAAGUUCCUCGCGGGACUCAAGUCCCUCUUCGUCUGCAGCGCCGAGGUGGACCGCCUCACCGACGCCGUCGACGCGCUCGAGCGCCUCGCCGGCCCCGGCGCCGACCUCGACAUCUUCCUGAAGGUGCUCCGGCUCGACGUCGCCAUGGACGUCGACGACGCCGCCGCCGCUCCGGCCCCGGCUGGCCCCUUCUCGGCCGCGCAUUACGUGGACCAGGGCAGCUACUCCGUCGCCACCGCGCCCGGCGCCAAGAGGAAGCGCGCGGGGAGCUCCGGCGUCGACCAGGCCGGGGACGCGGACGGCGAGGCCGCGUCCCACUCCCACGGCCGGGGCGUCCUCGACCGCGCGUACCGGCACAAGCGCCGGGCCCUGGCGUGCAAGCGGCACACCGGCUUCUUCCCUCCGCCGGCGGGGCCAGACCGCUCCGUGGCGGUGGCGAUGGCCAUGGCCAGGGUGCGCCGCCGCAUCGGGACGCCGAGCCUCGGGCGGCCCUUCUCCAGGAUCUCCUUGGAGUGA